rnacentral:tRNA from 1 species
AUUUAAAUAGUUUAUUAAAAUAUUGAUUUGUGAUAUCAAAGAUGUAAUUAUACUUUAAAUU